CAGCCUUCCUAUUCCCAUUCCUAGUUGCUAGAACUUUUUCCCUCUGAGAUAGCUAAGCAUCCCCUACCCUCUCUCUUUAGAUUUAAAAAAGGAGUUGGGAAGACAGGCAUGGAGUUUCUGUGAGAGUCUGCAGCCAUGUGUUAGAGCAGCCCUCAGCUCAGAACCCUAUGGUGACUUCCUGUCUCAUAUACAACAGUCCUUUCUGUGACUUGUGGGGACCUGCAUAAUCUCUUUCCUGCUUGCAACCCUUGCUCUCUGUCUUCCCCAGAGGAGACAUGGCUCUAACCCUCUGUCCCAGUCACCCCGCCCUCUGCGAUAGCUACUUCCGGUCCUUGAUAUUCCUCCAAGGUGGCAGAUCCCUCUCACCUUUGCCCCAGUGGCCCUUUCAUGGAUAGUGCCCUCUUCCCCGUACCUUCACCUUCCCUCACUGGUUGGAGGGACUGACAGACAGCUCUCUCUCUACGAAACAGUAUCCGCUCCAUCAUCACUGACGCCUAUGCGGCUGUAUUUGUCAUUUUUAGCUCUUGCUUCCUCAACACGCAGACGUGUAUACAUUUUGUGCUGGAUGGAGUGUAAGCAGAGACUUUGUCUUAGCUCUAGGUUUGAGAACAGUGUCUGCUGUAUGGCUGAGCAGGAGCCAGCCAUGCGGUGUGAUUGUGUGGGUUGUCGACUCCAUCUGAACAAUCAGCUGAGGAAACGAGGAGUCUUCUUGCUUGCCCUCUUCAGGGCUUCUAGAACCCCGCGUCUCCUGCCUUCUGUUCUGUACACAGCAUCCCGCAGGUUUUUUCGCAGGCAGGGAUUUACUGCAGGAAGUCAGCUCCUCUGCCAGUUUCCGGCCCCUCCCUCAGCUUUGCUUCUCCUGGGGCCUUCUCCAUCAUCAUCCAAACAGCUGACAGCCCACCCACCACACACCUGCAUACACACAGACAGACAGGCAGGCAGGCAGGCACGCGCGCACACACACACACACACACACACACACACACACA
rnacentral:lncRNA from 1 species